UAAACACCAGCUCGAAAGGCUAGUUUUACUUGUGAAAUAAAAUCCCAAUACUCAGUUGGCACGACCUCUGAUAACAAAAUCGUAGAGCUGUUGAUAGUUUUAAAAUAUUUUA